GUCGGCUUCAGCAAGAAGGACAGACAUGAACGUUUCAUUUAGAGAUAGGACAAAAGUUUUCAUAAUAGAUAAAGAAAAGUAUUGAUGUGCGAUGUGUAGAGGCCAUGGUACAAACACAUGGACGAGAAUUCUCUGUGAGGCAAUGAGGUGGAGGAUGCCUACAACAGGACCGUCAUGGGACAGAGGCAUAUGAGGUACAGAACACAAAGUGCUUAAACAAUGCUGCUGCCAUUCAUCUCCCAGUAUGACACCUGACGACAAUGGACCAAAAAAAAUUUACAACAGUAGGUUACUGGUGACAUAUGCACACUUGCUGUCAAUUUCUGACUGCAUUUCAACCUUUCAUACAAUUUCUAAGGUGACAUAUGCCACUAGUACUUAAC